rnacentral:rRNA from 1 species
UACGUAGGGUCCGAGCGUUGUCCGGAAUUAUUGGGCGUAAAGGGCUCGUAGGCGGUCUGUCACGUCGGGAGUGAAAACUCAGGGCUUAACCCUGAGCCUGCUUCCGAUACGGGCAGACUAGAGGUAUGCAGGGGAGAACGGAAUUCCUGGUGUAGCGGUGAAAUGCGCAGAUAUCAGGAGGAACACCGGUGGCGAAGGCGGUUCUCUGGGCAUUACCUGACGCUGAGGAGCGAAAGUGUGGGGAGCGAACAGG